rnacentral:tRNA from 1 species
CAGAGGGUAUUUUAUGUUAAAAUAUUAGUUUUGGGGAUUAGUGAAAUGGUGUAAUACCUUCCCUCUGA